GCCUACGGGACGCAGCAGUAGGGAAUCUUCCACAAUGGGCGCAAGCCUGAUGGAGCAACACCGCGUGAGUGAAGAAGGGUUUCGGCUCGUAAAACUCUGUUGUUGGAGAGGAACGUGCGUGGGAGGAACUGUUCACGCAGUGACGGUAUCCAACCAGAAAGUCACGGCUAACUACGUGCCAGCAGCCGCGGUAAUACGUAGGUGGCAAGCGUUAUCCGGAUUUACUGGGAGUAAAGGGUGCGUAGGUG
rnacentral:rRNA from 1 species